GCCUUCGUGGUGUAGUGGUCAGCACGAUCGACAUGUAUUCGAAAGGUCCAUGGUUCGAGUCCCGGCGAGGGCA
rnacentral:tRNA from 1 species